rnacentral:rRNA from 1 species
AACGAACGCUGGCGGCAGGCCUAACACAUGCAAGUCGAACGCCGUAGCAAUACGGAGUGGCAGACGGGUGAGUAACACGUGGGAACGUACCCUUCGGUUCGGGAUAACUCAGGGAAACUUGAGCUAAUACCGGAUACGUCCGAGAGGAGAAAGAUUUAUCGCCGAGGGAUCGGCCCGCGUCUGAUUAGCUUGUUGGUGAGGUAACGGCUCACCAAGGCGACGAUCAGUAGCUGGUCNGAGAGGAUGAUCAGCCACAUUGGGACUGAGACACGGCCCAAACUCCUACGGGAGGCAGCAGUGGGGAAUAUUGGACAAUGGGCGCAAGCCUGAUCCAGCCAUGCCGCGUGAGUGAUGAAGGCCCUAGGGUUGUAAAGCUCUUUUACCCGGGAAGAUAAUGACUGUACCGGGAGAAUAAGCCCCGGCUAACUUCGUGCCAGCCGCCGCUGUAAU